rnacentral:lncRNA from 1 species
CGGUCCCCUGGGUCCCCGGCCUGGAGAGUCCCAUUCCAAGGGCGUGGGAGGGCGCCCGGGAAUCUGUAUUGUUCACACACAAACCCAGAUGCUUCUCUGGAUCAGGCAAGUUUGGGAAGCAUCGCCAUGCGCUCUUUCCUGGGUCCAGGCCAUGGGAAGGAAACGGGAGUCAACCCGCCCCCGGAAACCUGAAGCACUGCGUCAGAACCGAACGCCCGGAGCCGCCCGCCCCUGAGUCCAGGCUGAUUCCUCAGGCCGCCGCCGUCCGGGUCGGUUUUGAGACGUGGGCGGUGGACCGCUUCUCAGACCCGCCACCCGCCUCCUGCAGGGAUCUUCCUCCUCCCGGGCUAAGGCUCAGGCUGGCUCCUGCCAGCACAGCGCGCGCGCACACGGGGGAAAGCUUUGAAAAAAUGACGGCGUAGACGAGCUCACCGGCGGCGGGGCUGCGGAGCGGUUGGAGUUGACUCCCUGCAGCAGGGAAUCCCUCGGUCCCACGCCCGCUCCCCGCCCGCAAGCUGCGGCACUGAAGGCCAGGGACGAGGGCAGCGAGCGCGCCGCCCGAGUUGUAGAUCUUAGUUGCAGGUCGUUCUAGUUGUGGGAUGUGGGACGCCGCCUCAACGUGGCCUGACGAGCGGUGCCAUGUCCGCAACCAGGAUCCGAACCCUGGGCCGCCACAGCAGAGCGCGUGAACUUAGCCUCUCGGCCACGGAGCCGGCCCCUAGACACGUUUUGAUUGGUGUAUAUGUAUGUGUUUCACUUUCCAAAUACUUGGAAUAAGGUCAAUUAUCUUUGUUAUUGAUCUCUGGUUUUGGUGCACUGCUGUCAAAGA